rnacentral:tRNA from 1 species
GGGUCAGUAGCUGAGUCGGUUCAGCGCCUGCCUGUUAAGCAGGAGCACGCGGGUUCGAAUCCCGCCUGGCCCUCCA